UACGUAGGUGACAAGCGUUGUCCGGAUUUACUGGGCGUAAAGAGCGCGCAGGCGGUCGUUCAAGUCGAGUGUGAAAGCCCCCGGCUCAACUGGGGAGGGUCACUCGAUACUGAUCGACUCGAAGGCAGGAGAGGGAAGUGGAAUUCCCGGUGUAGUGGUGAAAUGCGUAGAUAUCGGGAGGAACACCAGUGGCGAAGGCGACUACCUGGCCUGUUCUUGACGCUGAGGCGCGAAAGCUGGGGGAGCAAACGGG
rnacentral:rRNA from 1 species